rnacentral:rRNA from 1 species
UACGUAGGGUGCAAGCGUUGUCCGGAAUUAUUGGGCGUAAAGAGCUCGUAGGCGGUCUGUCACGUCGGCUGUGAAAACCCGAGGCUCAACCUCGGGCCUGCAGUCGAUACGGGCAAACUAGAGUACUGCAGGGGAGACUGGAAUUCCUGGUGUAGCGGUGAAAUGCGCAGAUAUCAGGAAGAACACCCGUGGCGAAGGCGGCUCUCUGGGACGGUACUGACGCUGAGACGCGAAAGCGUGGGGAGCGAACAGG